CUUGGUCAUUUAGAGGAAGUAAAAGUCGUAACAAGGUUUCCGUAGGUGAACCUGCGGAAGGAUCAUUAUUGAAUAAAACUUGGUUGGGCUGUUGCUGAUCCUCCAGGAUAUGUGCACGCCUACCGACCAACUUUUUACCACCUGUGCACCUUUUGUAGACGCUGGAUAUCUCUCGAGUGCCCAACUCGGUUUUGAGGACUGCCCCAAGCUUUCCUCAAAUUUCUGCUCUACGUUUUUUUAAUAUACCCCAUUGCAUGUCAUUGAAUGUUAUUGAUAUAGGCCUUUGUUGCCUUUAAAAUCUAUACAACUUUCAACAACGGAUCUCUUGGCUCUCGCAUCGAUGAAGAACGCAGCGAAAUGCGAUAAGUAAUGUGAAUUGCAGAAUUCAGUGAAUCAUCGAAUCUUUGAACGCACCUUGCGCUCCUUGGUAUUCCGAGGAGCAUGCCUGUUUGAGUAUCAUGAAAUUCUCAACCUUUUCAGUUUGCUGAUCAGGCUUGGAUUGCGGGAGUUUUUGCAGGCUUCACAGAAGUCAAUGCUCUCCUGAAAUGCAUGAGCAGGAACCCAUUGUGGACCCAGCUCCUGGUGUGAUAAUUAUCUAUGCCAUGGCUGCAAAGCAACUUGCCAAUUUUUUGGGGGGUUUUUGCUUCUAAUUGUCUCAUCUGAGACAACAUUUUGACCUUUGAUCUCAAAUCAGGUAGGACUACCCGCUGAACUUAAGCAUAUCAAUAAGCGGAGGAAAAGAAACUAACAAGGAUUCCCCUAGUAACUGCGAGUGAAGCGGGAAAAGCUCAAAUUUAAAAUCUGGCGGUCCUUGUGGCUGUCCGAGUUGUAAUCUAGAGAAGUGCUAUCCGCGCUGGACCGUGUACAAGUCUCCUGGAACGGAGCGUCAUAGAGGGUGAGAAUCCCGUCUUUGACACGGACUACCAGGGCUUAUGUGAUGCGCUCUCAAAGAGUCGAGUUGUUUGGGAUUGCAGCUCUAAAUGGGUGGUAAAUUCCAUCUAAAGCUAAAUAUUGGCGAGAGACCGAUAGCGAANCAAGUACCGUGAGGGAAAGAUGAAAAGAACUUUGGAAAGAGAGUUAAACAGUACGUGAANUUGUUGAAAGGGAAACGCUUGAAGU
rnacentral:rRNA from 1 species